AGAGUUUGAUCCUGGCUCAGGACGAACGCUGGCGGCGUGCUUAACACAUGCAAGUCGAACGAUGAACCUCUUCGGAGGGGAUUAGUGGCGAACGGGUGAGUAACACGUGGGCAAUCUGCCCUGCACUCUGGGACAAGCCCUGGAAACGGGGUCUAAUACCGGAUAUGACGUGCGACCGCAUGGUCUGUACGUGGAAAGCUCCGGCGGUGCAGGAUGAGCCCGCGGCCUAUCAGCUUGUUGGUGGGGUGAUGGCCUACCAAGGCGACGACGGGUAGCCGGCCUGAGAGGGCGACCGGCCACACUGGGACUGAGACACGGCCCAGACUCCUACGGGAGGCAGCAGUGGGGAAUAUUGCACAAUGGGCGAAAGCCUGAUGCAGCGACGCCGCGUGAGGGAUGACGGCCUUCGGGUUGUAAACCUCUUUCAGCAGGGAAGAAGCGCAAGUGACGGUACCUGCAGAAGAAGCACCGGCUAACUACGUGCCAGCAGCCGCGGUAAUACGUAGGGUGCGAGCGUUGUCCGGAAUUAUUGGGCGUAAAGAGCUCGUAGGCGGCUUGUCACGUCGGAUGUGAAAGCCCGGGGCUUAACCCCGGGUCUGCAUUCGAUACGGGCAGGCUAGAGUUCGGUAGGGGAGAUCGGAAUUCCUGGUGUAGCGGUGAAAUGCGCAGAUAUCAGGAGGAACACCGGUGGCGAAGGCGGAUCUCUGGGCCGAUACUGACGCUGAGGAGCGAAAGCGUGGGGAGCGAACAGGAUUAGAUACCCUGGUAGUCCACGCCGUAAACGUUGGGAACUAGGUGUGGGCGACAUUCCACGUCGUCCGUGCCGCAGCUAACGCAUUAAGUCCCCGCCUGGA
rnacentral:rRNA from 1 species